UGGGGAAUAUUGCACAAUGGGCGCAAGCCUGAUGCAGCGACGCCGCGUGAGGGAUGGAGGCCUUCGGGUUGUAAACCUCUUUCGCCAGUGAAGCAGGCCAUCUUCUUUGUGGGGUGGUUGACGGUAGCUGGAUAAGAAGCGCCGGCUAACUACGUGCCAGCAGCCGCGGUAAUACGUAGGGCGCGAGCGUUGUCCGGAAUUAUUGGGCGUAAAGAGCUCGUAGGCGGCUGGUCGCGUCUGUCGUGAAAUCCCCUGGCUUAACUGGGGGCUUGCGGUGGGUCCGGGCCGGCUUGAGUGCGGUAGGGGAGACUGGAAUUCCUGGUGUAGCGGUGGAAUGCGCAGAUAUCAGGAGGAACACCGGUGGCGAAGGCGGGUCUCUGGGCCGUUACUGACGCUGAGGAGCGAAAGCGUGGGGAGCGAACAGG
rnacentral:rRNA from 1 species